GGUCCGGUAGCUCAGUUGGUAGAGCAACUGCCUCUUAAGCAGUGGGUCCUGGGUUCGAGCCCCAGCCGGAUCACCC
rnacentral:tRNA from 1 species